CUGCUUCUGUAAACAUUUGCAGUAGCACAUAUACUAAAAUUGGAAUGACAGAGAAAUGAGCAUGGGCCCUGAACAAGGAUGACACACCAAUUGGGGAUCAAAAUUGA
rnacentral:snRNA from 1 species